UACGUAUGGUGCAAGCGUUAUCCGGAUUUACUGGGUGUAAAGGGAGCGCAGGCGGCGCGUUAAGCCUGGUGUGAAAGCCCGCGGCCCAACCGCGGGACUGCAUUGGGAACUACCGGGCUGGAGUGCCGGAGAGGUAGGCGGAAUUCCUAGUGUAGCGGUGAAAUGCGUAGAUAUUAGGAGGAACACCAGUGGCGAAGGCGGCCUACUGGACGGUGACUGACGCUGAGGCUCGAAAGCGUGGGGAGCAAACAGG
rnacentral:rRNA from 1 species